rnacentral:rRNA from 1 species
UAGUGGCGAACGGGUGAGUAACGCGUGAGGAACCUGCCCUCAAGAGGGGGGACAACAGUUGGAAACGACUGCUAAUACCGCAUAAGCCCACGGUACCGCAUGGUACUGAGGGAAAAGGAUUUAUUCGCUUUAGGAUGGACUCGCGUCCAAUUAGCUAGUUGGUGAGGUAACGGCCCACCAAGGCGACGAUUGGUAGCCGGACUGAGAGGUUGAACGGCCACAUUGGGACUGAGACACGGCCCAG